AUAAAGAUAUUUGUGAAGUAGUCUCUGGUUAUACAACUGUAAGUUUUUCCAUUAUUCUUUCAUUGCAGUGCUCACCAUAACUUGAGUUUAUUUUAUCAUCUCUACUUAUCUUUGGGUCUUUUUUCUCAGAAUACUGGAAGUGUUGUAGGCAUAGACUCCGAUUCUUGGUUAAAUAUAACUGAGAAAGCCUUUGAAGGAAUGCCUAAUCUCCAGUUCUUAAGAGUCGUCGUAUACAAUUUUGAUCAUCCAAACAUUAUAUCUUCUUCGGGACCUCUGACUUUUAUAUCUUCGAAGCUACGAUUAAUAGAGUGGUGGUAUUUUCCGAUGACAUCUUUGCGUUUUAUUAAUAAUCUGGAAUUCCUUGUCGAAUUAAAAAUGCGUUACAGCAAACUUGAGAAGCUGUGGGACGGAAUCAAAGUAAGUCAUUUAAAUUUUAGUUUUGUAUGUAGAAUAUCCUCUCUUGUACAUUAAAUUAACUUGAAAAAUUAUAUUUUACUUGCCACUUCGUUUCUAGCAUGAAAAUAUAUAUAUAUUUUAAAAUUUUAUGUGUUCCAAUUGCUAAGUGUAAUGUGUUCCAAUUUUAUGUGUUAAAUUUUUAUGUAUAAUUGUGUAUAUUUUGUCUCCAUCUUUCUUUACAGCUGCUUAAGAAUCUCAAGCGUAUGGAUUUGUCAUAUUCCAGAAACCUGAAGGAGCUUCCUAAUCUUUCAAUGGCCACUAGUCUUGAGAAGUUAAAACUUAGUGGAUGUUCAAGUCUGGUGGAGCUCCCUUCUUCUAUUGGGAAUUCAACUAAUCUCUCCACAUUCAAACUUGAUGGAUUUAGUCUAGUGGAGCUCCCUUCUUAUGUUGGUAAUUUAACUAAUCUCCAGGAAUUAUCACUUAGUGGAUGCUCAAGGCUUGUAUCACUCCCACAGCUUCCAGAUUCCUUAUUGCGCCUAAAUGCAAACAAUUGUGAGUCCCUAGAGAAACUAGACUGCUCCUUUUGCAAUCCAUAUAUUUGGCUUCACUUCGCUAACUGCUUCAAACUAAAUCAAGAAGCAAGAGAUCUCCUCACCGAGACAUCAAAUGUUAAAUUGUAAAGAAGUGCCUGCGUGCUUCACUUACAGAGGUUAUGGGAAUUCCGUAACAGUGAAGUUGAAUCAAAAGCCUCUUCCUACAUCAACCAAAUUUAAGGCUUGCAUCUUAUUUGGUAACAAUGGCGAAAAUGACGUUAGUUAUAUUUAUUGGGACACAACAUGUGUGUAUACGAAGAAGAAUAAGGGUUGCAUCUUGUUGGAUAAUAAGGGAGAACAUGAGGAACGAGGGUCGGUGUCUUGUCGCAUCAGACACAAACCGAAUGGUUUCUUAAAUUACUAUCCAGUUAUAACGGAGCAUCUAUACAUUUUCGAAGUUGAAGUAGAGGAGGUGACUUCCACAGAGCUUUUUUUUUAUUUCGAGAUCUUCAAAGAGGAUUCCAGGACUAUGGAGAUAAAAGAAUGUGGGAUAAUCCACAUCUUGGAACAUCAUGUUGAUGGCGACGAAAAGAUGGCGAUGAAGAUGGAGACAAUGUAGAUCUGAGACAAACAUUGAAACUCAAGUCAAACAGAGAAGCCACAAGACAAAAUUGCAAGGACGAAUGGUAAGUUUGCAUUUUCACAACUCAAGAACUUACUUUGUUGAUAAACUUUGCAUAACAACUGUUCAAUGAAAUGUCUAAGUGAGCUUUUUAAGUUUAAAGUGACAAUAGCUAGAACUGCAAUCUCCAAAAUGAUUUUUGAAUUCAAUCGUGUAGGGUUUAGAGCUGGAGCUUAAGAAACUCUUGAAGGUGAAGUUGAAGACGUCCAUGAAGAUCUAUUUAAGAAACAGGUACAAAACUUAUACAUUCUUUUGAUUUAUGUGUUUUGUUUGUCUUCUCAAUUCAUGACAAUACAAAUAUAAAUUGUUUGUGAUAUUUUAGAUGUUCAGUAAAUUUCUUUUGGAUCUGAUUAAUUUUUGCUCUAGGCACAAGUAAAGUCGUUUCAAUAUGCAUUUGUCAAGUUAAUUGUGUCUUUUACGGUAUGGCUUGACCCACAUGUUCCUCUCUGUUUCUCAUUUGAAUAAUCAGUUUUUCCUGAUUGGUAUUCACUACUGUUAUUUCAUAUACUGCUUGAAAAAUUCUCAAAUUCUUUGAACUUGUGUUUAGUGCUCUAGUUGCUCUCUGUUAAUUCAGAUUUGGAUAAUUAGUUGUCCUGUUUCAGUAUUACUUAACUGUAUUCCUUAAAUUGGUUAGAUAUAGUUUUGCUGAAUGUAUAACGAUUGCUAGUACCUUCGUGAAAUGGUUUUGAAUCUGUUUGUGUAAUGUCAAAGCCAGAAGCCGAGAACGUAGCAAAAGUUAAGAUGGUUAAGAGUCUUUUAGGUAUGUUGUGUGCCUUCAGCUUCUCGUUUAUGUCUCAGAAUGCCUUCAUGCUAAUGAGAUGACUUUAUUUUGUAGGUGAACUAUUACAGUUGGCCUCUUGAAAUUCUAUUAUCAUUUAUACAUUUUCGACAUUGAAGCAGAGGAGGUGACUUGCACCGAGCUUGUUUUUACGUUCGAGGACAGAAAUUCCACAUACCUGAAAGCUUGGGAGAUAAAAGAAUGUGGGAUACUUUUAACUUCGGAGCGUCAUAUUGAUGACUUAUGAGAGCUUGGGAGAACCACACACCCUUAGCCCACGCGCAGGCUGGUUUUGUCACUCUGAUGUGUUUCCAAGUCUCACCAGUAGAGAAGUUUUUCUUAAAACCUGACGUCCGCUACAUUUCGUCUGCUUCUCGAUUUUGCCUCUUCUAUCCCAGCUUCAAUUCUGGUCAAUAAAUCCACACGGUGUCUCCUACUACGUCGAGUCAGAAACACGUCUUCCAUAGUCAUAGUCUUAGUAAAUCCCAGAUCAAUGCAUCCUCUGUCGCCCAAAACGUCGAAAAGAGGUCCCACGGAGGACUUGUGAUCAUACCAAAAAGAAGUGUUCUUACCACUUUGAAUUUCCAUCUUGUGGAAACUUUUUGCUAUCUCUUUCAGUUUGAAUAACAAAAAGAACCUUGGUAAGAAGAUUCUUUGACUGCCCAAAACGAGUUUUGCCAGAGGAGAUAAGUCUGAAUCCAUUGUCUUUUAGAGAGUGUUUUGUGGAUUCAGCUUCUCGUUUAUGACGUCUAUAUGACUAAGAACUGUUACAAUUGUUUGUCAAACAUGUGAAGGUGAAGUUGAAGAUCUAAUUUACCUACUUAAGAAAUACUUAAUACAUUCUUUUGAUUUAUGUGUUUUGUUUGUCUUCUCCAUUCAUGGGCCAUGGCAACAUAUAAAAUAUGUUUGUGAUAUUAAGAUGUUGGUUAAAAAUUCUUUUGAUUUAUGUGUUUUGUUUGUGAUAAACACAUAUAAAAAAUGUUUUUGAUAUUUAGAUGUUCGUUAAUAAUUCUUUUGGACAAAUAUGCAUUUGCCAAGUGAAUUGUGUCUUUUACGAUAUGGCAGAAGAGAAAUCACACAACUAUAUGUCAACUUUAACAAAAUGGAGAUUUAGACAAAGCUCUUCUCUUAUUACAUGAACAUGGCACAUUACACUAGAUAUCACAUCCACACAAGCUUUAUAAGACGAAAAAGGACUAAUUUUUUUUAAUAACGCCAACCAAAACUUGAUUCAAGCAAGAAGUCCAAAAAAAUUCCAUUUUCCUGAAUAAAAAAUAAUAAUUUAGAUGGAAUGUGAUAAAGACUGAAAUCAAUAAAAAGAAAGACAAAUACCUUGCGCAUUAGUAGCAGGAGGACUAGCAGGAGACACUGCAACCAAAACAAAACAAAACAAAAAUCUCUAUUAAUCAGAUAAUCAUAUAACUACAAAAGGAAUUAAAUCAUAAUCCAUAAAAAAUCAAGAAGAAAUCUAACAUGCACCACAAGCUGCCACCGGAGGAGCAUAAACUUUACAAGCAUCGGGAAGAGUAGUAGCCUUAGUAACGUUAAGUUUGAUUCCGUAAGAGGCAGUGUUCUUCAACCCUUCGCAUCAGUGCCGGCCCGGUAAAUUUGGGUGCCCUAAGCAAAAUUAAAGCCAUAAAAAAAAAAUUCUUUUAAAUUAGAUUUUUACCAUUAAAAAAAAUGUUGUAGUUGUCUCUAAAAGCCAACAAUAUUUUUAAAAGGCCCUACAAAAAUUAUUGUAUAUAAGGAAAACUUAACAAGUUUUUAGGUAAAAAGGCCCUCAAAUUUUGAGGCCCUAAUCGGUGGCUUCGGUGGCUUGCCCUCUGCGCCGGCCCUUCUUCGUAUAGACAUUCCGGUUCCGUAUCGAGGAUAUUCUUGAGACUGGAGCAGCACGAAUUUGAGGGUGUAUCCAUCGUACUCCCGAUCGUUAUAAAUGAUAAACAUGGGAACAGGGGAACAACAAGGGUACACCCGGAGGCUGGUAUAAUGUUUCCAUGAACAUAAGGAGAGGAAACAGAGAGGACUAGGAGGAGAAGAGAUGUUGCUGCGGAGAAGAAAGCCAUUGUUUUGGUUCUCUGUUUUGGUUACUGCUUAAGAAUCUAGAGAGAAGAAAAUGAGAAUUGUGGUAGAGAAUGAGUGAAAUGUGCUGUGUUUAAAUAUGGGUUUGAGUGAUAAAGACGACGUCGUUUUGGUGUACACGUCAUGUGUAACUUGUAAUUUUUUGGUUCUUUUAGUGUAAGAUUCUGCUCAUUUUUAUUUGGAUUUUAUCCUAUAUUAAGAGCUUUUUAUCAUUGAAAUUAAAGUUGUUACCAAAAUGAUUAGAUUUGUUAGAAGAAUACAGAAGAAAAAAAAAAAGUAGAAAAAUAAAAAUGUAAUUUCUAAAAACGUUGGUGAAAAAAAUAAAAAAAAAUUUCUUAAAACGCUUUUCUAAGUAGAAGGAUUUGUAUUCAUACUUUGCUUUGCUGUAUGUAUUUCUUAGAUUUUGUUUUUUUUCUGCUGUAACCUUCUGUCAAAAUCUAUAAAUGGUAUAAAACUUAACAUUCAUACCAAAAAACAAAAGUUUAUAUGCUAAGAUAUUUAUUUUUUUUAUGUUAAAGUUGCUAAGAUUUUCUUUUUAACUGUCUUGGUUUAUAUGUCUUGGUUCUGAGUCUUUUCGAGAGUGUUGUGUGGAUUCAGCUUCUCGUUUAUGUCGUCUGUAUGACUAAGAACUGUUACAAUUGUUUGUCAAACAUGUAAUAAACUUGAAGGUGAAGUUGAAGAUCUAAUAUACCUACUUAAGAAACAGGUACAAGACUUAUACAUUCCUUUGAUUUAUGUGGUUUGUUUGUCUUCUCCAUUCAUGGCAACACAUAUACAAAAUGUUUGUGAUAUUUGCCAAGUGAAUUGUGUCUUUUACGAUAUGGCAGAAGAGAAAUCACACAACUAUAUAUCAAAUUUAACAAAAUGGAGAUUUUGACAAAGCUCUUCUCAUAUUACAUGACCAUGGCACAUUACACUAGAGAUCACAUCCACACAAGCUUUAUAAGACGAAAAGGGACUAAAUAUUUGUUAUAACGCAGACCAAAACUUGAUUCAAGCAAGAAGUCCAAAAAAAUUCCAUUUCCCUGAACAUAAAAUAAUAAUUUAGAUGGCAGGAUUAAACAUUAUAAUAAGUUAUCAAGAAUGAAAUGUGACUAAGAAUGAAAUCAAUAAAAAGAAAGACAAAUACCUGGCGCAUUAGCAGCAGGAGGACUAGCAGGAGACACUGCAACCGAAACAAAACAAAGUUUCUAUUAAUCAGAUAAUCAUAUAACUACAGAAGAAAUUAAACCAUAAUCUGAUUUAUCGUAAGGAUCAUAAUCCAUAAAAAUCAAGAAGAAAUACAGAGAGAUGAAGGAGAAAUCUAACAUGCACCACAAGCUGACGCCGGAGGAGCAUUAACUUUACAAGCAACGGGAAGAGUAGUAGCCUUAGUAACAUUAAGUUUUAUUCCGUAAGAGGCACUGUUCUUCAACCCUUCGCAUAGACAUUCCGGUUUCGUAUCGAGAAUAUUCUUGAGACUGGAGCAGCACGAACUUGAGGGUGUAUCCACCGUACUCCCGAUCGUUAUAAAAGAUAAACAUGGUAACAGGGUAACAACAAGGGUGGUGCACUCGUCGGCUGGUACAAUGUUUCCAUGAACAUAAGGAGAGGAAACAGAGAGGACGAGGAGGAGAAGAGAUGUCGCAGCGGAGAAGAAAGCCAUUGUUUUGAUUCUCUGUUUUGGUUACUGCUUAAGAAUCUAGAGAGAAGAAAAUGAGAAUUGUGAUAGAAUGAGUGAAAUGUGUUGUGUUUAAAUAUGGGUUUAAGUGAUAGAGACGACGUCGUUUUUAUGUACACGUCAUGUGUUAACACGUCAUUUUUUGGUUCUUUCUGUGUAAGAUUCUGCUCAUUUUUAUUUGGAUUUUAUCCUAUAUAAAGAGCUUUUUAUCAUCGAAAUUAACGUUAUUACCAAAAUGUUUAGAUUUUAAAGAAGAAAAAAAAAAAAAAACAGAAAAAUAAAAAUGUAAUUUCUUAAAACGCUUUUCUUAAAGUAGAAAGAUUUGUAUUCAAACUUUGCUUUACUGUAUAUACUACUUAGAUUUUGUUUUUUUCUGCUGUAAUCUUCUGUCAAAAUCUAUAAAUGGUAUAAAACUUAACAUUUAUACCAAAAAAACAAAAGUUUAUAUGCUAAGAUUUUCUUUUUAACUAACUUGGUUUAUAUGUUUAAAGACUAAUUAAUUAAAUAUAGUAAACAAGUUUUAUCAUUUUGCAUACAAUUAUUCAGUGGGUCAGUUUCUCAUUGUAUUUAAGAUAAGAGAUUGGUUCGGUUUGCACAAAAAAAUGGAGAUUGGUUCAAACUUCAAAUGUUGAAACCUGCGUGUUGUUGUUAUUGAAUUUAAAAAAUUAAAAAACUUUUUUUUUUCUUUCUCAAUGUCAAAACUAUGAGUUCUUUCGCAUAAAGAAUGAAAACAAAAUUAAUGUAACAAAAAUAGUUAAAGAAUAUCACAUAUUUUCGAUAUCUUUCAAGAUUUGAAUAAUUAGUUUUUCCAGAUUUAGUAUUACUUAAUUCUAGUCCUGAAAUGUAGUUUUACUGAAUGUAUAACGAUUGCGCUUAACUUUGUGAAACGGGUUUGAAUAUGUUUUAAUAAUUAAUGCAAAGCGAGAACAUAGCAAAAAGUUAGAAUGGUUAUGAGUCUUUUAGAGUAUGUUGUGUGGCUUCAGCUUCUCGUUUAUGUUCUCGUAUGACCGAGGUCUGAGGACAUGCUAUUUUAUUUUAUAUGAAAUGACUUCUUUUUUUUGAUGAACUAUUACAAUUGGCCUCUUGAAAUUCAAUUAGUGUCAUGUUAAAAAAAAAGUAAAAUCUAAAUGGGACUAAAAAAACAACUAUUGAAUAAGGGGUACUGGGUGGCAAGGGACCUAAACAUUACAACAAGUGCAACUGUUUGGAGUAGUGUUUGACAUAAGAGUAGAAGGGGUUUACAAGUUAUCUCCUAGUAGAAAGCCAAAAGAAGAAUAAAUCACCAUAUUUUGCAUUCCCGGAAGAUGGGAAUGUUCGUGUUGAUGUUUUUCCAAGGCUUGAUGUUGUUUGAGGUUCUUUACCAUGUCUUUUGUUAUUUCUCUCCCUCCAUAUGGUAUGGACUGCAAUUUGAAACGUUUAUCGCAGAAGUAAAAGAGCCUUCUUUUUGGUUGUCUCAUAUGUUAUGAGCAAAAUGAUUUGAUCCCAAUCCAGAAGUAUCUACAGGUGUGACUAUCUUGAAGUAUCCCUUUUACUAACUCCUCCCAUAUUUGUCUUGUAUACGGGCAUUGAAAGAAGAGGUGGUGUCUUGUCUCAACCGGUUCCUGACAAAACGCACAAGAUGUAUUCACUUGGGUCUUCCACUUCACCACUCGUUCACCUGUAGAUAAUUUGUCAUGCUUUGCAAGCCAUGUAAUAAAAGCGUAUUUAAGCGUAGCUUCAGAUUGUUCGAGUUUUUCAGGUCUUGAUUUAAGAAAUGAUCAAAAUUAUAACAAAAUUCAGAUUUAAUUGGAUUUGGUUUAAGUUUGGAUGAAAAUUUAGUUAAAUAAUGAUUAAUUAUAUGUAAUUCAUAUUAUAUUUUAAUAUAUGUUAAUUUUAUAUAUGAAAACUGAAAUAUUAACUGAAAUAUUUCGAUGUGGAAAUUUAUGUACUUUUCAUAGUAUUAUAAAAUUUGGUUUGGUUUCACCUUAGUAAAUUUUUGUGAUCGAACCAAAUAAACAUGUAUUAAUAUAUAUUCAUAUUCGGUUCGGUAUAAUAAUUUAUAGAUCACUAGUAACAAAAUUGGUUUGGUUUCACGUUGAUGAAUUUUUGUAACACAACCAAAUAAAACUUCAUUAAUUAACCUUUUUACAUCAUGACUAAAAAAAUUUCAAUUUAUUUAUAAAUUCUAAACUAGAAUUUCAGAAGAAAAUAUAUUAAAUUUCAAUUUUUCAUUGUGGUUUCUUUCAUAGAAUUAGAGUGUCAUAUGUCGUAACCAAUUGCUGAGUUAUUUAUUGGGUUCUGCAAAAAAAAAAAUAACUCUCCACCUCAAAAAUACAGAUAAAUCAUACGAAGUAAGAAAAAAAACAUAAUAUAAACUUUAUAUGUAUAUUGUAUAUGUUUUCACAAUCACAUACAAUAUAUAUUUUUUAGUUAUAAAUGUUGAGUUAAACUUCUCGUCGCGAAGGCUUCGAUUUAACAUAUUAAUCAUCAAAAUUUUACAAACUUGAGAGUAGCGGAAAAAUGUUAUAUUGCGUAUUAUAUUUAACUUCGUAGGAUUAAUUUGCAUUUUUGUAGGUGAAGAUAAAUUUGCAAAAAGUGGCUAGUUUGAAGAUUUUUAUUACGGAGACGGUAAGGUAUGAAAGUCAGUUGUUGCAAAUAAAAUGACCAAUUAAAUUUCUGAAAGGAAAUAUCAAGAAAUUUGAGAGUAUAAAUUAGAUGGAGAGAGAGAGAGAUAGCAAAUUUAGGAAUGUGAAACAAAGUCAACUGUUAAUGAGGGAUGUUUCCUCAUUAACAAAACCUUUUGGGAAUAACUCUUACUUAGUCUAAGCUAUAUUUUAAAUUUUAUGAGCAAUUGUGUUUUGUUUUGAGCUGUCAUGCUCUGUUUUCUGUUUUUGAAUCUUUCCUUUGAUUUUUAAUGUAGUUUACGAAAAAUUCGUACAGAACCGCUUCAUAUCACAUAUGUAAACAACAUUUUUCAUGAAUGGCUUUUUUGAGCUCUAAUUAAUUUCGGAUGACAAAAAAAAAAAAAAUGUAGUUUCAAAGCCCCCAGCGAAACACUAUGGAAAAUCUCCAAACGUUACUUCCUUUGUCAACUCUUGAUUUUGCGUAUAAGAAAAAGUCAUGAGAUUAAUAAGCCAAUCAAUCGGAUAUUUUGGAAUUUUUUUUCCUUUGUAGUAAGGUGAAAUAAUUGGUCGGUUGCAUUUUCUUAUUCAAACUAAAUUUCUCGGAGGAAAUAUCAAGGAAAUUCUAAAGAUAUUGUAUGUCAACGUUCUAGGCCUAUAUACAUUCAAGUUUUAAUCCUUACCCCCCAUUUAACUCUGUUAAAGAUAUUGUAUGUCAACGUUCUAGGCCUAUAUACAUUCAAGCUUUUUCCUCUUCUUAUUCUUCUGCUCCUUCGAUUCCUUCAUCUUCUUCGUCUCAAAACUGGGAGUACGAUGUCUUUCCCAGCUUCCACGGGAAAGAUGUACGCAAAGCCUUUCUCAGCCACGUUCUAAAGGAGUUUGGAAGAAAAGCAAUCAACUUUUUUGUUGAUAACGAGAUCAAGAGAGGAGAAUUCAUCGGUCCUGAACUCAAACGUGCGAUCAAAGGAUCUAAGAUUGCUCUUGUCUUGCUCUCCAAGAAUUACGCUUCUUCGUCAUGGUGUCUUGACGAAUUGGCGGAGAUAAUGAAGCAAGAGUCUGGUCAAACGGUGAUUACCAUUUUCUAUGAAGUAGAUCCAACGGAUGUGAAGAAGCAGAAGGGAGACUUUGGGAAGGUCUUCAAAAAAACUUGUAAAGGUAAAGACAAGGAGAAGAUUAAGACUUGGAGGAAAGCUUUGGAGGAUGUGGCCACAAUCGCAGGUUACCAUUCAAGCAACUGGUUCGUGUUCUUGAUUUAGCUUUUAAUAUUUCUAACUCAUCAUACUAUGUAGCAUACGAAACUGUAUGUAUACAAGAGAUUCAUAACUUUUGAACGUGUAUGUUAGUUCUUAGUGAUUAUUUAUUAACAAGAUGUAUGUAUGAAUUGUUCUUCGUCUUUGUUAGGGUUGAUGAAGCAGCCAUGAUUGAAAACAUCGCUGCUGAAAUUUCGAACAAGCUUAAUCAUUUGACACCAUUACGUGAUUUUGACUGUUUAAUUGGGAUGGAAGCUCAUAUGAAAAGGAUGGAACAGUAUUUACGUCUAGACUUGGAUGAAGUGAGGAUGAUUGGGAUUUGGGGUCCGCCUGGGAUUGGGAAGACCACAAUUGCCAGGUUUCUGUUUAACCAAGUUUCCAGCCGUUUCCAGAAUAGCGCACUCAUUGAGGACAUCAAAGGAAGCUAUCCGAAACCUUGUUUUGAUGAGUACAACGCAAAGUUGCAACUACAAUAUAAAAUGUUGUCUCGGAUGAUCAACCAGAAAGAUAUCAUGAUCCCUCAUUUAGGAGUCGCACAAGAACGAUUGAGAAAUAGGAACGUGUUUCUCGUUCUUGAUGAUGUGGAUCGGUUAGCACAACUAGAAGCCUUGACCAACAAUGUUCAGUGGUUUGGUCCUAGAAGUCGGAUUAUCAUCACAACAGAAGAUCGAAGUCUUUUGAACGCACAUGGGAUCAACCAUAUAUACAAGGUUGGUUUUCCAUCAAAUGAUGAGGCUCUUCAAAUGUUCUGCAUGUAUGCUUUUGGUCAAAAGUCCCCUAAAGACGGUUUUUAUGAACUUGCGCGUGAAAUUACAUACCUUGUCGGUGAACUUCCUUUAGGACUAAGGGUUAUUGGAUCCCACUUUCGUGGAUUGUCCAAGGAGCAGUGGUCAAUGGAAAUAUCAAGGUUAAGGACUAACCUUGAUGGAGAUAUUGAGAGCAUUUUGAAGUUCAGUUAUGAUGCUUUAUGUGAUGAAGAUAAAGAUUUAUUCCUUCAUAUAGCUUGCUUUUUCAACAACGAAAAUAUAAACAAAUUAGAAGAAUUUAUUGGCCAAAGAUUCAAGGAUUUGAGUCAAAGGCUAUUGGGAGAACCGGAGAUCGACCGAGAUCGACGAUCGAGAUGAUCGCCCAAGAUUACUCUCAUCAAUACCAUGAUAUCUUUACGUUUUAGAGGAGAAAUCUCUCAUAUCUAUUGAAAGAUUUCUUGAAUAUGUGAGUAUAAAAAUGCACAAUUUGCUGGCCCAACUAGGUAAAGAAAUCGUCCGUAAAGAAUCUCGUGAGCCUGGGCAACGCCGAUUUUUGUUUGAUAAUAAAGAUAUUUGUGAAGUAGUCUCUGGUUAUACAACUGUAAGUCUUUCCAUUAUUCUUUCAUUGCAGUGCUCACCAUAACUUGAGUCUAUUUUAUCAUCUCUACUUAUCUUUGGGUCUUUUUUCUCAGAAUACUGGAAGUGUUGUAGGCAUAAACUCCAAUUAUGGGUUAAAUAUAACUGAGAGAGCCUUUGAAGGAAUGCCUAAUCUCCAGUUCUUAAGAGUCGGAUACAAUACUCAUCAUCCAAACAUUAUAUCUUCUUCAGGACCUCUAAUUUUUAUAUCUCCGAAGCUACGAUUAAUAGAUUAGUGGUUUUUCCCGAUGACAUCUUUCCCUUUUAUUAAUAAUCUGGAAUUCCUUGUCGAAUUAAGUAUGCGUUAUAGCAAACUUGAGAAGCUGUGGGACGGAAUCAAAGUAAGUAAUUUAAAUUUUUUAAUUGUUUUAAAUUUUAGUUUUGUAUGUAGAAUAUCCUCUCUUGUACAUUAAAUUAACUUGAAAAAUUAUAUUUUACUUGCUACUUCGUUUCUAGCAUGAAAAUAUAUACAUUUUUUAAAUUUUAUGUGUUCAAUUGCUAAGUGUAUCAAAGUAAUUGUCUAUUUUGUCAUUAUUCUCCUUUACAGCUGCUUCGAAACCUCAAGUGUAUGGAUUUGGCAAAUUCUGAAAACCUGAAGGAGCUUCCUAAUCUCUCAAUGGCCACUAGUCUUGAGGAGUUAAACCUUGAAGGAUGUUCAAGUCUGGUGGAGCUCCCUUCUUCUGUUGGUAAUUUAACUAAUCUCCAGAAAUUAUCACUUGAAGGAUGCUCAAGGCUUGUAUCACUCCCACAGCUUCCAGAUUCCCCAAUGGUCCUAGAUGCAGAAAAUUGUGAGUCCCUAGAGAAACUAGAUUGCUCCUUUUACAAUCCAUGUAUUCAUCUCAACUUCGCUAACUGCUUCAAACUAAAUCAAGAAGCAAGAGAUCUCCUCAUCCAGACAUCAACUGCUAGAUUGGUGGUCUUACCCGGUAAAGAAGUUGAUACUUGCCACUUCGUUUAAUAUAGAUUAACUUGAAAGAUUAUAUUAUACUUGCCACUUCGUUUCUAGCAUGAAAAUGUAUCUUUUAAAAUUUUUGUGUUCAAUUGCUAAGUGUAUCAAAGUAAUUGUGUAUUUUGUCAUUAUUCUCCUUUACAGCUGCUUCGAAAUCUCAAGCGUAUGGAUUUGGCAUAUUCUGAAAACCUGAAGGAACUUCCUAAUUUCUCGAUGGCCACUAGUCUUGAGCAUUUAGAUCUUAGAGGCUGUUUAAGUCUGGAGGAGCUCCCUUCUUCUAUUGGAGAUUUAACUAAUCUAUGGAAAUUAGAUCUUAGAGGCUGUUUAAGUUUGGUGGAGGUCCCUUCUUCUAUUGGGGAUUUAACUAAUGUUUGGGAAUUAUAUCUUAGUGAAUGUUUAAGUUUGGUGGAGCUCCCUUCUUCUAUUGGGAAUUUAACUAAUCUCCAUGCAUUAGUACUUAAAGGAUGUUCAAGUCUAGUGGAGCUCCCUUCUUCUAUUGGGAAUUUAACUAAUCUCCAUAAAUUAUCACUUGAAGGAUGCUCAAGGCUUGUAUCACUCCCACAGCUUCCAGAUUCCCUAAUGGUCCUAAAUGCAGAAAAUUGUGAGUCCCUAGAGAAACUAGAUUGCUCCUUUAGCAAUCCGGGUACUUGGCUUAACUUUUCUUACUGCUUCAAACUAAAUAAAGAAGCAAGAGAUCUCCUCAUCCAGACAUCAUCUGUUAACGUUGUGGUCUUACCCUGUAAAGAAGUGCCUGCGUGCUUCACUUACAGAGGUUAUGGGAAUUCCGUAACAGUGAAGUUGAAUCAAAAGCCUCUUCCUACAUCAAUUAAAUUUAAGGCUUGUUGAAGGUUAUGGGUCGGUGUUUUGUUGCAUCAGAGACAAACUGAAUCGUUUCUCAGUCCACUCUCCAAUUAUAACGGAGCAUCUAUACAUUUUCGAAGUUGAAGUAGAGGAGGUGACUUCCACCGAGCUUGUUUUGGAUUUCGAGAUCUUCGAUUACGAUUCCAAGACUAGGGAGAUAAUAGAAUGCGGGAUAAUCCACAUCUUGGAACAUCAUGUUGAUGGCGACGAAAAGAUGGCGAUGAAGAUGGAGACAAUGUAGAUCUGAGACAAACAUUGAAACUCAAGUGAAACAGAGAAGCCACAAGACAAAAUUGCAAGGACGAAUGGUAAGUUUGCAUUUUCACAACUCAAGAACUUACUUUGUUGAUAAACUUUGCAUAACAACUGUUCAAUGAAAUGUCUAAGUGAGCUUUUUAAGUUUAAAGUGACAAUAGCUAGAACUGCAAUCUCCAAAAUGAUUUUUGAAUUCAAUCGUGUAGGGUUUAGAGCUGGAGCUUAAGAAACUCUUGAAGGUGAAGUUGAAGACGUCCAUGAAGAUCUAUUUAAGAAACAGGUACAAAACUUAUACAUUCUUUUGAUUUAUGUGUUUUGUUUGUCUUCUCAAUUCAUGACAAUACAAAUAUAAAUUGUUUGUGAUAUCUUGCUCUAGGCACAAGUAAAGUCGUUUCAAUAUGCAUUUGUCAAGUGAAUUGUGUCUUUUACCCACAUGUUCCUCUCUGUUUCUCAUUUGAAUAAUCAGUUUGUUCCUGUUUCAGUAUUGCUUAAUUCUAUUCCUGAAAUUCGUUAGAACAUAGCAAAAGUUAAAAUGGCUCUGAGAUUUUAGAGUAGGCUUCUAGUUUAUGUUCUCUGUAUGAAUGAAGACAUGCUAUUUUAUUCUAUAUGAAUAGGUGAACUAUUCCAUUUGGCCUCUCAAGUUUCACAAUUCUUGAUUUUGCUGCAACUUUUUUUGUAGCAUAUAUUGGCCUCUUGAAAUUUAGUUAUCUUUAAUUAAGGUUUAAUAAAAGUAAAAUCUGUAUGGGACUAAGAAGAACAAGUAUUGAAUGAGGUUUAUUGGGUGACAAGGCACCUAUAUAGGAACUUGACAAGUGUAAUGGAUUUGCUCAUUCUAUUAGACGGUGUAACCGAAUCAAGAUGUUGGAUUGUGUUGUAUUAGGUAGCGAAUAUGGGCGGUUACGGACAAAUGAAUUCGAAAUUUGGUGAUAGAAUUGGAAAUGUGGAUGCCAUUGAUUUUCCAAUGCAAAGCAGAAGAAUCUCAGGAGGUCUUUUCUCUUUUUUCUUGACAAGAAGUUUCAACAGCCAUUUCCACUUCCAAUUCUUAUCGAUAAUAUUCAAUUUCAACUGAAAACGAAGAACUCGUGGCUAAUUAUAUGCUGACAAAGUAUGUUAUCUUUCAUGUUAGGUGAUGUGUAAAAUUUUGUUCACUCAUUUAACUUGUAAUUAGUCUCCUAUUACAUAUAAUUUAUAAUAGACUCUAGUUAUAGGAAUCCGAACUAAAUUUCUCUUGAUAAAAAUAUGAUCGUGGUGUUCCUCGUGUUUAACAAAUUGCAAACUAUUAACUUUCAACAGAGUUGUGUGACUUGAGAAAAACAGAGGACUUUGUUGGUAUGAAGUCUCAUAGUAUAAACAGAAGACUCUGUUUCACACAGUUACGAAAAAAUCUGUAGAAAUCAAACCUUUUGUACAGAAGCAAGAAUUUUGUAACCUUCUUAGCUACAUAACAUUAACAUUGGAUCUUUAUACUCUUUGGAUUUUUCAUAAAACGACAUGAAUAUAUGUCCUCAAUACGAAACAUAGCCUGAUGCAUUAUCUCGUCGGCGCAUGUGAACUUAGAUUUAAGUCUAUAGAAUCCGUUUUUGCUAUUAAAAAAUCCAAAACCCUCUUAGAAAUAUGAUUCAACAAAUCCAAAAUCAACUAGGAAAUAUCCAUAAGCAAUAGAAACUUUCCAAGGAAUGACUUAUCUGCAUAGCCAAAUGUUAGUAUUCAGUAAUAUGAAUCAUCACUUAUGAGAUUGUUUGGUAUGAACCUUACUUUUCCUUAGAAUAACAUUUAUAUUUUCUUUAGAAGUGUCUCUGAAGUGAUUAGCUGUUAAAGAGUAAAUAGCUACAAAUUCCGUUAAUAGUGGAGGGACAAUGAUUACUCUCAUAAACCUUUAUGUUCACAGAAAUUUAUUUAUAAAGAUUAAUUGAUGGUUCUGAGUCUUUUAGAGAGUGUUGUGUGGAUUCAGCUUCUCGUUUAUGUCGUCUGUAUGACUAAGAACUGUUAUAAUUGUUUGUCAAACAUGUAAUAAACUUGAAGGAGUUGAAGAUCUAAUUUACCUACUUCAGAAAUAGGUACAAAACUUAAUUAAUCGAUACAUUCUUUGAUAUAUGUGUUUUGUUUGUCUUCUCAAUUCAUGGCAAUACAUAUAAAAAAUGUUUGUGAUAUUUAGAUGUUCAGUAAAAACUCUAGGCACAAAGUAGAGCCGUUUCAAUAUGCAUUUGCCAAAUGAAUUGUGUCUUUUUUGAUAUGGCAGAAGAGAAAUCACACAGUUACAUGUCAAAUUUAACAAAAUGGAGAUUUUGACAAAGCUCUUCUCAUAUUACAUGAUCAUGACACAUUACACUAGAGAUCACAUCCACACAAGCUUUAGUAUUUUAUCUUGUUGAAAUUGAAAUUAUCAUAAGACGAAAAAGGACUAAAUUUUUAUUAAGAAGACAAUUGACUUUUACAAUUCACCUACUAUGUUAUAACGCCAACCAAAACUUGAUUCAGGCAAGAAGUCCAAAAAAAUUCCAUUUCCUUGAACAAAAAAUAAUAAUUUAGAUGUCAUGAUAAAAAGCAGAUUAAAUUUUGCUCUGUUUUCUGUUUUUGAAUCUUUCCUUUGAUUUUUAAUGUAGUUUAGACGGCAAAAAAAAAAAAUUAUUACUUCCUCCAGCGAAAGAGGGCUGUUUCAAAGCCUCCAGCGAAACACUAUGGAAAAUCUCCAAACGUUACUUCCUUUGUCAACUCUUGAUUUUGCAUAUUGGCAAAAGUCAUGAGUAUAAUAAUAAACGUAUCAAUCGGAUAUUUUGAAGUUUUUUAAUCUUUGUAAUAAGGUGAAAUAAUUGGAUGGGUUGCAUGCAUUUUCUUAUUCAAAUUAAAUUUCUCAGAGGAAAUAUCAAUUCUAAAGAUAUUUUAUGUCACGUUCUAAGCCUAUAUACAUUCAAAUUUUAAUCCUUACCCCUACAUAACUGAAAAUUCUUCUAUCGAUCAUAGUAAUGGCUUUUUCUUCUUCUUCUUCUUCUCUUUCGAUUCCUUUAUCUUCUUCGUCUCAAAACUGGGAGUACGAUGUCUUUCCCAGCUUCCACGGGAAAGAUGUACGCAAAACCUUUCUCAGCCACCAACUGAAGGAGUUCGGAAGAAAAGCAAUCAACUUUUUUGUUGAUAACGAGAUCAAGAGAGGAGAAUUCAUCGGUCCUGAACUCAAACGGGCAAUCAAAGGAUCUAAGAUUGCUGUUGUCUUGCUCUCCAAGAAUUACGCUUCUUCUUCGUGGUGUCUUGACGAAUUGGUGGAGAUCAUGAAGAAAGAGUCGGGUCAAACGGUGAUUACCAUUUUCUAUGAAGUAGAUCCAACUGAUGUGAAGAAGCAGAAGGGAGACUUUGGGAAGGUCUUCAAAAAAACUUGCAAAGGUAAAGGCAAGGAGAAGGUUCAGACAUGGAAGAAAGCUUUGGAGGGUGUGGCCACAAUCGCGGGUUACCAUUCAAGCAACUGGUUCGUUUUCUUGAUUUAAAUUCACUUGAUUUUAAUAUUUCUAACACAUCAAACUAUAUUUGUAGCAUUCAUAGUGAUUAGUUAUUAACAAGAUGUAUGUAUAAAGUGAUCUUCCUCUUUGUUAGGGUUGAUGAAUCAACCAUGAUUGAAAACAUCGCUGCUGAAAUUUCGAACAAGCUCAAUCAUUUGACGCCGUCACGUGAUUUUGACCAUUUAAUUGGGAUGGGAGCUCAAAGUCUAUUUGUUAGUCCUUACUUUCACAUAGCUCUAUUAUUAGAUCUCUGAUCUUAAAUCUUCUCUCUAUCGUAGCAAUGGCUUCUUCUGCUCUUUCGAUUCCUUCAUCUUCUUCGUCUCAAAACUGGGAGUACGAUGUCUUUCCGAGCUUCCACGGGAAAGAUGUACGCAUAACCUUUCUCCGCCACAUUCUCAAGGAGUUUGGAAGAAAAGCAAUCAACUUUUUUGUUGAUAACGAGAUCAAGAGAGGAGAGUUCAUCGGUCCUGAACUUAAACAGGCGAUCAAAGGAUCUAAGAUUACUCUUGUCUUGCUCUCCAAGAAUUACGCAUCUUCGUCGUGGUGUCUUGAUGAAUUGGUGGAGAUCAUGAAGAAAGAGUCGGGUCAAACGGUGAUUACCAUUUUCUAUGAAGUAGAUCCAACGGAUGUAAAAAAGCAGACCGGAGAUUUUGGGAAGGCCUUCAAAGAAACUUGUCAAGGUAAAACUGAGGAGAAGGUUCAGACAUGGAAGGAAGCUUUGGAGGGUGUGGCCACAAUCGCAGGUUACCAUUCAAGCAACUGGUUAGUGUUCUUGAUUUCCACUUUCUUUUAAUUCUAACACAUCAAGCCAUAUAUCUUUAAUUGUAACGUUCGAACUGAAUGUAGACAAGAGAGUCAUAAUUGAUCUUGCUCUUUGGUAGGAUUGAUGAAGCAACCACGAUCGAAAAGAUUGCUGCUGAUAUUUUAUUGGAGAUAAGCAAGAUGUGUAUCUUGCGGACCAAGUAAUAUGGACCGUUAAAGUCCAUUAUGAAGUGAAGCCCGUGAAGCCUAAACCGAAGAAUAUUCUAGAUCUCUAUAUUACUUCUUGUACAAGUUAUUUACUUAUAUGUUUAGGAAAGUUUACAUUAUGUGGGUGUUAACAUUAUGUUAAUGUUAACACUAUAUAUAUGUAUCUUAUAUUUUCAUAUGAGAGAAAACUCAAUAAAGUAUUUUAUAGAUUCUAUAAUAUUUGACAUGGUAUCAGAGCAGUCGAUCCUUGUGGAUCUGAAUUAAAUGCUUCCGCAUUAAAAAUCUUGUGGUCACAAUAACCAUGGGAUGUGAAGCCAUCGAAGACGGUGGUGACGAAGACGAUCCGGAUGAUGACGUGAAGCAAAGUUUGCUUUGACGUCCACAUGAGAGUUUUAUAUUUCUUUUAUUCUAAGUUAAUGUUUUAGGUUGAUUUUGAGUUUAUGAUUUGGUUUAGCACAAGAAUUAGAGAUCUUUGAGGAAUUAUUAUGUUUUAAGGGUUUGGGAUUUCACAAGUAGUUGUUUAUUUAUGAGAUUUAUUCUUGAGUUUAGAAUAUCUCAUUUUUUUAAUGUGAGUUUUGAUUUCUCAUAUUACGGGGGAGUUUAUUGGAACACUCAUGUUUUAGGCUAUUUUUAGUCCGGUUUGUGGACUGUCCGAGAUAGGACGAUUAUUUGUGGAGUUGCAGGAUUUGCGCCCACGGAAUAUUGUUAUUCCCUUUUACUAAGACCAAAGACGAGCUGAAGUUCCAUCCUCUUUUGAAAAUUGAAGUUUAUACCUGAGGAGACUGUUGACAUGAUUUGUCCGUCCUCGACAUGAUGUCCACGACAUAGGUGUUCUGCUUUGUCGUUGCAUAUUUUGCGUUUCGCAUCCCACCUUUGUCGUGCGGGGGAGUAUUGGAGAUAAGCAAGAUGUGUAUCUUGCGGACCAAGUAAUAUGGACCGUUAAAGUCCAUUAUGAAGUGAAGCCCGUGAAGCCUAAACCGAAGAAUAUUCUAGAUCUCUAUAUUACUUCUUGUACAAGUUAUUUACUUAUAUGUUUAGGAAAGUUUACAUUAUGUGGGUGUUAACAUUAUGUUAAUGUUAACACUAUAUAUAUGUAUCUUAUAUUUUCAUAUGAGAGACAACUCAAUAAAGUAUUUUAUAGAUUCUAUAAUAUUUGACAUAUUUCGAAAAUGCUUAAUCAUUUGACGUUGUCACGUGAUUUUGACCAUUUAAUUGGGAUGGAAGCUCAUAUGGAAAGGAUGGAACAGUUUUUACGUCUAGAUUUGGAUGAAGUGAGGAUGAUUGGGAUUUGGGGUCCGGCUUGGAUUGGGAAGACCACCAUCGCCAGGUUUUUGUUUAACCAAGUCUCAAGCAGUUUCCAAAAUAGCGCAAUAAUGGUAAAUAUCAAAGGAAGCUAUCCAAGACCUUGUCGAGAUGUGUACAAAGCAAAGUUGAAACUACAGAAAAAAAUGUUGUCCCAUAUGAUCAACCAGAAAGAUAUCGUGAUUUCUCAUUUAGGAGUCGCACAAGAACGAUUGAGACACAGGACAGUGCUUCUCGUGCUUGACGAUGUGGAUCAGUUUGCACAACUAGAAGCCUUGGCUAAAGAUGUUAAAUGGUUUGGUCCUAGAAGUCGGAUUAUCAUCACAACAGAAGAUCUAAGACUUUUGAAGAAGCAUGGGAUCAACCAUAUAUACAAGGUUGAUUUUCCAUCAAAUGAUGAGGCUCUUCAAAGGUUCUGCAUGUAUGCUUUUAACCAAAAGACCCCUGAAGAUGGUUUCGAUGCACUUGCUCGUGAAAUUACAUACCUUGUCGGUGAACUUCCUUUAGGACUAAAGGUUAUUGGAUCCCACUUUCGAAGAUUGUCCAAGGAGCAGUGGUCAAUGGAAGUAUCAAGGUUAAGGACUAACCUUGAUGGAGAUAUUGAGAGCAUUUUGAAGUUCAGUUAUGAUGCUUUAUGUGAUGAAGAUAAAGAAUUAUUCCUUCCUAUAGCUUGCCUUUUCAACCUAGUAGAUAUAAAGAUAUUAGAAGAACUUAUUGGCAAAAGAUUCAAGGAUUUGAGACGAAGGCUUUACGUUUUAGAGGAGAAAUCUCUCAUAUCUAUUGAAAUUUUGUUUGACUAUGGGUAUAUAAAGUAUGAGUAUAUAAUGAUGCAUAAUUUGAUGGCCCAACUAGGUAAAGAAAUCGUCCUUAAAGAAUUUCGUGAGCCUGGGCAUCGCCAAUUUUUGAAUGAUUAUAAAGAUAAUUGUGAAGUAGUCUCAAUAGUAAGUUUUGCCAUUAUUUUUUCAUUGCACUGCUCAUCAUAACUUGAGUUUAUUUUAACAUCUCUACUUAUUUUUUGUUCAUUUUUCUCAGAUUGUUGGGACUGUUGUAGGUGAGAAAACCUUUGAAGGAAUGCCUAAUCUCCAGUUCUUAAGAGUCGGAUACAUUCCUGAUCAUCCAAACAUUAU
rnacentral:lncRNA from 1 species